GUGCAGAUUUGUGGUACGAUAUCGUUUAGUGGCCAGAAGUGAUUACGAUCCGACGUUGGCAGCCGAAACUGAGAUGACAAAAGAAGCACAACCUACUCUUAGAAACAAGGAUGAACCGGAAAUCAGUCGCCUGUUCGGCACUCAACAAAUAAAUAAAUGCCUCAACUGCAACACCGAAAGUGUCAAAAAUAAUAUCCUGGUGUGCAAUCUCCUGUAUUAUACCAACAGCAACAACCGACAUGUCGACGGAACAUUUGCGUAAAUUUUGAAAAAUUAUAUGUCGUUGAAAAAACUACACCGUCCUGGUGUGAGAAGCUCAACUAGUUCACCCCACUAAUCGAAAGAGUCGUGUGGCUGAUCUGCCGAAAAUUCUAUCGGUUAGCUGCGGUCUGGAGACGGACAAAGAACUUGAGUAUCUAGAAACAAAUGCCGCGGCCCUCUGCCUAAGUGUCUAGCGAUGGUGCAAACGUAAAUAAUGGGAAAACGUGUCGUUACGGGAUGCAUUGCUCUCGGGUAGAUUUUCAUUUUUUCCAUCCGAGAAAACUCCCACCGUCGAAUGCGUCUAAUCAAGGUCAGCAGAAAUCAUGCUUCCCGCUAGGCUUCUGAAUGACAUUGGAUGAGAAGAAUUUGAAAAUUGGAUCAUUGAAAACUGCUUCCAGCUGUUAAGAAGGUUCUGAUGCUCACGAA